UUGUGUCAAUGACCUUUGACUCUCAUAUAAAGUGCCUUAGAUUAUCUGAACCAGAUUGCUUGUAUCAUUGCUAUUACUUCCUCCCAAAGUACACAACACAUCACAGUAUGAUUUUUCAGGUUACAAACAAGAUCCGUAUUAUAUGAUUCUGCGCCUGCCCAUGCCACCUUUUUUUU